rnacentral:rRNA from 1 species
UACGGGGGGGGCAAGCGUUGUUCGGAAUUACUGGGCGUAAAGGGCUCGUAGGCGGCCAACUAAGUCGGAUGUGAAAUCCCCAGGCUUAACCUGGGAACUGCAUCCGAUACUGGAUGGCUUGAAUCCGGGAGAGGGAUGCAGAAUUCCAGGUGUAGCGGUGAAAUGCGUAGAUAUCAAGAGGAACACCUGAGGUGAAGACGGGUUGCUGGGCUGACACUGACGCUGAGGCGCGAAAGCCAGGGGAGCAAACGGG